rnacentral:rRNA from 1 species
CGACCGCUGGCGGCGUGCUUCACACAUGCAAGUCGAACGGAAAGGCCCUGCUUUUGUGGGGUGCUCGAGUGGCGAACGGGUGAGUAACACGUGAGUAACCUGCCCUUGACUUUGGGAUAACUUCAGGAAACUGGGGCUAAUACCGGAUAGGAGCUCCUGCUGCAUGGUGGGGGUUGGAAAGUUUCGGCGGUUGGGGAUGGACUCGCGGCUUAUCAGCUUGUUGGUGGGGUAGUGGCUUACCAAGGCUUUGACGGGUAGCCGGCCUGAGAGGGUGACCGGCCACAUUGGGACUGAGAUACGGCCCAGACUCCUACGGGAGGCAGCAGUGGGGAAUAUUGCACAAUGGGCGGAAGCCUGAUGCAGCAACGCCGCGUGCGGGAUGACGGCCUUCGGGUUGUAAGCCGCUUUCGCCUGUGACGAAGCGUGAGUGACGGUAAUGGGUAAAGAAGCACCGGCUAACUACGUG